GUUGUUCAUUAUUCUUUCAAGAACCAGCUGAUGUAUUUUUAUAAUAAGAAAGAAUCAGAAAGGAGGCAGUUCUGAGGAAGCCCUUACUGGUCAGGCCAGGCUCUGCACUCCCACUCCAGGGACUGUUGGAUCUGCAUUGCCAUUCUAGGACUUGGGUUUCUCAUUUCCGGGUUGACCGCCACAGAUUGCAGAAAUGGAAAUCUGCCUUUGAACUAAAGAAGAGGGGAUAAAUGUCAAACUCACAAAGAGAGACUGCUAUUUCACUGCAGAAAUAAUUAGAUGGACCUUUCUUGACUUCUAGACUACAGAGUAAAAUACUUCUUCCAGGCUAAAUAAAAAGGAAUUCAUGAAAAUGUGAAUACUCUGAAAUUUGACAAAAAGUCUGGCUGAUAAGAAGAGGUUACCAACACUACUUACAUUUAGCACAGAGAGGCAUAUUCAAGGGUGGUACCUACUGAAGCAGGAAUGAGGUAACCUGGUGCUGGAGCUUUUGGGGAUCAUCUUUUGUAAACUGCUCUCCUUGGGGCUGAGGAACAGCACUCCUGUCUCACCUCUGCUUGAAGGAUUCCAGGGUCUCAGCAGUGCAACUAUUGUGGAGAAAGCAUCCAGAACCUUUUAGAAAACCUGAAGCAGGGCAGGUAAGCAGUAUAGGGCCUUUCUUUUGCCCAAAGAAAACACAAACUGCCCUGUAACUUCUCCAAUGAAGGGUAGCACUGUAUCUUCACAUGCACUUGUGCAGCCUUGGCCAUGAUGAAGCUGCUAUGCUGGUCAGGUCUUCUGUAAGCCAUACCCAGUAGGUGUUGAGAGGGCUAAUAUCUCCUGCCUGCAUUAUAUGGAAGAGAUGAGAUUUGUUUAUUUAUUUUUAGAAUGGAAAACAGCCUCAGUUUUGGCAGAAAACUGUGAGAUUCUUUAACAUAUAAACCAGGUUGCAACAAUGUCCAUGGCGGGUAAACAGCCUUCUUUUUUGUAUUUAACAGAUGUACUCCUUGCCUCAAAGUUCAAGCUUGCACACAUUUUAGUCAAUGGACACCAGUCAGGACAUACCCUCUUCAUAGGCAGUGCCUUGAAAGACAGACUUCACUUCUGGAUCAUAUUAAAGAAGAAUGGACAAGCAUUAGGUUAUUUCCUUGGAUAUGUAAAGAUAUGUUUCAAGUGUGCUGAUCUUGUCAUUGUGAUGAUGUUUGUUUUCAGUAAAUUUGACUGAGUGGGGAACACAUGAAAAAUACAUUUCAGGCAGCAUCUUAUUUUACAAACUUAAAAACUACAUACCUACAUGAAACACCUUAGCAGGUUCAUUUCUGGUGAAAUGAAUAAGUACUAGCACACAUCAAACAGGCCAUCAAGUCACCUGUGACUGGCUUGGGUGGGAAAAAGAAAAGUUUUCAUAUGGAUUAUUAUGAUAACAAUGUCAGAAUAAUAAUUAUCUUUUUCUUCACAACAACAUGUGCACAGCAGUGUGAAAAACCCACUUCUUAACAUCUGUCAUCUCAAAGGAAUCAUAAUUUACCAUUCCAACCCAAUCAAAUGCUCAGGACAGUAUAUAGCUGCUACAAACUGAACAUGUUCAAUUCCAUUUAAAGCUGUUUUGACUUCAGUAGUACCCAGAGAUUCUACGUAGGCCUGGGAUGAUAAAUAUACUCCAAGAUAUGGCCAAGGGCCAAGGAACUGUUGUUUCAAUGCUUCCUGCUCUUGCUCCUUGACAGGGUCUUCAAUAAAGCUGCAUCUCCCAGGAUGGACCACAGUCAUGUAAGCCACAAAAGUUCACAGUAGGAGAAUGAGCCAGACUGAGAAACCCUGGGGGAAUCUGAAAGAGUUUUUCUCAUUUUUUUUCUUUUUUUUUCUUUUUCCUCAGAAGGGGAAUAUUCUAAUAUUCAGUAAAAUGUUCCUGUAUUAAACAAAAAGGAUUAAAAUGUUCCCUUUCCCCUUCCCCCUUUCUUUUUUUUGUCCCCCAGAAAUAAUGUUGAGAAUUUUUCCAAAUAUGCCUACAUGGAUAAAAAGUCUCCAGUUAACAUACCCUCUUUUCAACUGUAUUUAUUCCUCUCUGUAGCACGUGCUACAAAUAUAUUCCUUAAAUUAAAAUCAGAAAGGAGAAGAAGCUGCAAAACAAUGUAUGAUAUCCUUUAAAAAUUCAGAAGAGUGAGUACAGUAUUUGGCCAGAAGAAUGGGAGGGUCCAGAGUUCUUCAUCUUUAUGAGUUUACAGAGAAGAAUAAAAGAAAAUGCUUGCACUUACUGACAAAAUUUAGAGGAUGCAGGAGUCAAAUCCUCUAGCAAAUUAGAUACGUUGACAGAAAUACAGAGAAUUCCCUUAUGUAUUACCGAAAUCUUUCAUCUGGAGAUGUGAAAGUAUUUCUUAAGGCUUUAAGAACUGCUUUCAUAGUGACAUCUGGGACAGUUACUCCUUAAAAUUACUUCUAGAAAUAUUUUGGCACAAAACAACACAGAAGUUAGGUCUUAUAAAACUGGAGAUGAUGGUGGUGUUUUAAUUGGAGGAAUGGUAACAUUCUACAUAAAAAAACAAUUGUCUGAAAAGUAAAACUGUAUAUGACCAAAACUAUUCAUAAACUUCGAAUAAAUUCAGAAAAUUCUUUUUACACAAAGUUUUAAUAAUGAUACACAGGGGACAAUAUAGCUGAGGAAACACAUGUAGAAAAUAGCUUCAUUAUUUGAUUGAACAUCUUGAAAAUGUGGAACAAGUUCAGACAAUGAAAAUCUACUUCCUAGCAGAAAGGGGAGCAUGAAUGAAAUGGCUGCAUGACUCAACUAAAAAUAAAGGCAAAGCAGAAAGUUGAGUGCAUAUUUAAUAACUCUACUUCAGACCCAAGUACCCAAAGCUGACAAUUCAGAAGAGGAUGGGUAUAUAUGCCAUGGGACAAAAUACUCUGAGAUGUGCGAGAUGUUUGUCUGAUUAACAAAGAGAAUUUAGGAACCAUUCAAAUGCUUUAACUCAAAGGGACUUAAAACUACAUGGCUGUCUGGUUUAAAUGUUGUGUAAGAUGUGAUUGGGUUAAAGAAAUUAUGCACGCAAAAUAAAGACAUAAUAUGCCUUGAA